GGUCUCGAUGCCGCCCCUCCGCGCCACCGCGAUGUAGCAGUUCUGAAAGCCCAGGUCGAUGCCCACCACAGACAUGACUGCGGCGGGCGCGGCUGAUUGCCAGACGAGGACACCGCGAAAUUCCGACUUGGGCUUCGGCAGUUUCCGCGCGUCCUCGGGUAGCCUCCAGGAGUUCGAGAAAGAUCUGGAAUCCGGGUGAGGAGACUGCGAAAGAGGCUUGUCUAGGACGCCCUCUAAGGGCCAGGGUCCGGAACGGCGUUGUCACAGAGGCCCAAAGCGGGAGAAGCACGGAAUACGAUUAGGGGCAGCUUGCAGUUAUAUAGCCAAAAAUUAUUACCAUUUUACUUCCUUUGUAUUUUACGUCUCCAAUUCCCGGAUUGAAUAGAACCCAGGAAAUAUGAAAUCAACACCGAAAGAAUAAAUAGACCAUGAAAGAAGAUGAAGAAGACACGUGUCAGAAUAAGAAAUAAAAAUAUAAAUAAUUGGGAUAUUUAUUUGUUUUUAUUUAAAGAUUUGAAUAGCUGCUCAUCUUAAAACCAAACUUUGGGUGGCUCACACUCAAAAGAAUAAAAAAAAUAUAACAAUAAAAACAGUACAAUGGGACAAUUGAUUAUCUUAUAUUAUAAAUGAUGAGCAUAUACAAGACAUGAGUACAGGAUAUUUACUCUGACAGAUAAUUAUGUACUAUCAAGUUGAUAUCAAUUCUUAGUGACUACUGUAGGAAGUUGGCACCCACCCCUUUCCUGGAAGAGUGAAAAAUUUUAGGAAAUAUGAAAAAGGCAGAAUAUUAUAUUUCCCUGGAUGAGAAAUGGAGAAGCAUAUUUUACAGACAAAGCCGCUCCCACCUUCCUGCCCCCCCCCCACCUUUGUCAAUGGGCCAUUAAGGCCUGGGCCAGUCUAUUCUACAUAACAAAGAUCUGACUCCUUCAGGCAGAGCCAUAGUAGGAAUUGCCAAAGAUCCAACAAAGAUAGGAUUAGCCCUCUACACAAUAGCAGCAGAAACUCACCACAUGUGACCUGGGAAGCACAUGUGACCAUCAGACAGCAAGGCUAGCUAAGACCCCAACCCCCUGGGAGUCUGACAACCAAUCAGGAUACUCUUGGGGCCCCAAGAAAUGCAGAGCCAGAGAGAGCAUAAAAACCCGAGGAUUUACUGUAUCUGCCCCUUUUCUGUUCAGGAACUCAAGCCAUGUGAUCCUGUCCACCAUUAAACCAUCUUUCCAAGC